AUACAUGCAGUCGAGCGGACAGAAGGGAGCUUGCUCCCGGAUGUUAGCGGCGGACGGGUGAGUAACACGUGGGUAACCUGCCUGUAAGACUGGGAUAACUCCGGGAAACCGGAGCUAAUACCGGAUAGUUCCUUGAACCGCAUGGUUCAAGGAUGAAAGACGGUUUCGGCUGUCACUUACAGAUGGACCCGCGGCGCAUUAGCUAGUUGGUGAGGUAACGGCUCACCAAGGCGACGAUGCGUAGCCGACCUGAGAGGGUGAUCGGCCACACUGGGACUGAGACACGGCCCAGACUCCUACGGGAGGCAGCAGUAGGGAAUCUUCCGCAAUGGACGAAAGUCUGACGGAGCAACGCCGCGUGAGUGAUGAAGGUUUUCGGAUCGUAAAGCUCUGUUGUUAGGGAAGAACAAGUGCAAGAGUAACUGCUUGCACCUUGACGGUACCUAACCAGAAAGCCACGGCUAACUACGUGCCAGCAGCCGCGGUAAUACGUAGGUGGCAAGCGUUGUCCGGAAUUAUUGGGCGUAAAGGGCUCGCAGGCGGUUUCUUAAGUCUGAUGUGAAAGCCCCCGGCUCAACCGGGGAGGGUCAUUGGAAACUGGGAAACUUGAGUGCAGAAGAGGAGAGUGGAAUUCCACGUGUAGCGGUGAAAUGCGUAGAGAUGUGGAGGAACACCAGUGGCGAAGGCGACUCUCUGGUCUGUAACUGACGCUGAG
rnacentral:rRNA from 1 species